GUCAUUCGAGACGGAGAGGUCAGAGCGUGAGGACAGCUGGCAGCGGCUCGUGUCUGGCAGCCUCUCUGUCCUGGGUAAGAGGCGGGGCUUCGUCACCUGGUGGAUCAGCAGCGGAUCCCCAACACCAUUCAAGGGAAACUCUUCAGACUGAGGCCAAGGAAGAGGAAUGACUAGUGCUCUGACAGCCUCCAUGGUGCUGAUGGGUGAAGGUCACGAGGCGUCAGGCAAGGUGGUGGUGAUGCGCAGGCCGUGCAUGUCCUGGAUCUCUGCUUUUAGUGUCUGCAAUGAAUCAAAGGUAUUGGACAGAGUGCAUGGCUGAGUGGUUAGCGUUCGGGCCCCGCAUUCACAGCGUACUGAACGAAGCGUGUUCAAAUCCGCACGCUACUACCUGGGAUUUUCCAGUCACUGCUGAGUGGCCUAAGACUACCCACAUGCUGUCAUGAAGACCACCCAUCAACACUGACUCUAGAAGAAAUCGUACAAGUGAGUCAAGAAUGAGUUCCGGGGGGCAGCAUGAGCCAAGAAUAUAUGGCGCCACUAUAAAAAAAAAUUGCCUGCGCCACAACUGGCUUGGGGCGCCCACCAGGCCCCUGAAGAAAGCCUACUGGCGCUAUGGGCGAAGACUUAAAAAAUGCUUUUAGGUUUAUUUUGAAGCACCAUCUGAUCACAGACAUUUCUAAUAAGACUACAUAAAAGAAAAAACGUUAAGGCCACGGUCACGCAAUCACGACCUUGCCUCCUGGCAGUAGAAAAUGUUGCGCUGCCAGACGUACGUUAUGACCAUCGUAAACAGACUAUUUAUUCCUUGAUAUCUCAUUUUAGUAUUUUAAGUUAAACUGUGAUGUGUCUACUCUCUUGGUGUAUAUGCAGUCUUAGUAUUUACAAAAGCUUUCAACACACCAUUCCCAGUUCUAUGGGCAUGGCCUCAUGCAGUGCCUUGCAAAAUGGUGCCCCUCACAGG